rnacentral:rRNA from 1 species
GACGAACGCUGGCGGCGUGCUUAACACAUGCAAGUCGAACGGAAAGGCCCUGCUUUUUUGGGGUGCUCGAGUGGCGAACGGGUGAGUAGCACGUGAGUAACGUGCCCUUGACUUUGGGAUAGCUUCAGGGAACUGGGGCUAAUAUCGGAUAGGAGCUCCUGCUGCAUUGUGGGGGUUGGAAAGUUUCGGCGGUUGGGGAUGGACGCGCGGGUUAUCAGCUUGUUGGUGGGGUAGUGGCUUACCAAGGCUUUGACGGGUAGCCGGCCUGAGAGGGUGACCGGCCACAUUGGGACUGAGGUACGGCCCAGACUCCUACGGGAGGCAGCAGUGGGGAAUAUUGCACAAUGGGCGGACGCCUGAUGCAGCAACGCCGCGUGCGGGAUGACCGCCUUCGGGUUGUAAACCGCUUUCGCCUGUGACGAAGCGUGAGUGACGGUAAUGGGUAAAGAAGCACCGGCUAACUACGUG